AUUGAACGCUGGCGGCAUGCCUUACACAUGCAAGUCGAACGGCAGCAUGGAAGAGCUUGCUCUUCUGAUGGCGAGUGGCGAACGGGUGAGUAAAGCAUCGGAACGUACCGUGUAGUGGGGGAUAACGUAGCGAAAGUUACGCUAAUACCGCAUACGCACUGAAGUGGAAAGCAGGGGAUCGCAAGACCUUGCGCUAUACGAGCGUCCGAUGUAAGAAGAGCUAGUUGGUAGGGUAAAGGCCUACCAAGGCGACGAGCUGUAGCGGGUCUGAGAGGAUGAUCCGCCACACUGGGACUGAGACACGGCCCAGACUCCUACGGGAGGCAGCAGUGGGGAAUUUUGGACAAUGGGGGAAACCCUGAUCCAGCCAUGCCGCGUGAGUGAAGAAGGCCUUCGGGUUGUAAAGCUCUUUCGGCUGGGAAGAAAUCGCACAGGCUAAUACUCUGUGUGGAUGACGGUACCAGCACAAGAAGCACCGGCUAACUACGUGCCAGCCGCCGCGGUAA
rnacentral:rRNA from 1 species